GUUUGGUUAUUUAUUCAGGUAUUGGCCAGAGUGACAGCAGGUACGAGUAAUCUGCGGGUUUUCUGUUUCCGAUGGACGCCGGGAUUGUUCCAAUCAAAUUUGGACGCUUCACCCGCGGAUAAUCGAUCAUUCUCACGGCUGUACAAUCGAUGAUGCUUGUCGCUGAACUGGACGCGAUGUGUUCGGAACGAAAGUGGGCGGCUGCAAUUUGGGACGAAAACGCUUUCGAUUACGAAAAUUUGACGGCGAUGCAGAUGAGAGGCAAUAACAGUCCCAAACGGUGUAAGGCGAAUAAAUAGAUCGAUCCUUGGCCAUUGCAAGCGUACUCGUUGCAAAAGGAACACGUGAUGCUGGAGUUUGGUAAAUGGCGGCAGUAUCCAUCGAUUUCGCGUGACGGCACGCAACCUCGUACCGUCACCAGCACGUCCCUAUCUGCAUCAUUAAGGAAAUAGUUGCUUCAUAGCCUCGCCACUUUCAAGGCAACACUUUAAUUGCGAAGACUCAAAGCUAUACAUUUGAUUGAAAUUAAUACAUUGGUCGCCGAGAGCGUGCGAUUAACUGUGCGAUUCGACAUUCCACGCGACGUUCUCGUCAUCUCAUUACGCGUUAAUAUUCAAUAAUUAUAUCGUGGCUGUUUAUAUUUGUAUGCUGUUUAUGUUUAUGUUUAUGUUUAUGUUUACAUUACAUUUAUAUAAUUAUAUCGUGCACAGAUGCAUGAACGAAAACGCGCAAUUCUCGUGAUACAUAGCUUCGAAGGAUAUUAAAGCUUGAAAUUGUUUCUUAGAAAUCCUGUCAUGAACACAUCGCAGUAAUUUUUAAUUGUAUUUUAUGUUCAGUCGACAAGCAUUCCAUUUUGUCGUAAUAUUCAUAUUGGUGCGAAGUGUGAUGUAUCUGUGAGUCAUCGAUGUAUUGUUGUGUUGCUCAUUGAAAUCUAACGUGUCAUGUUUUUUAAGUAGUUUAAGUAGUUUGUUAACUAGUCAUGUAAACUAGUCAUCAGUUCUUCACGUAGUUUAUUAAAUUUUUGUUGUUGUAAAAGGAAGUCUUGUCGGUUUUCCUUGUCACAAAUCCAACGAAAAUGUUGUUACAAUAUUGUUCUUUGCAUAUUCAUUAGGUGAUCAACGCUAAACCUAACACGUGGCGAUUAAAAUGACCGAUUUCGCUUUUUUCUUUAUUAAAAUUGUUGAAAGUGUAAAAAUAUUUUCUUAAGAGACGAUUAGAUAAAUUUCUUAAUUCAUGCAUACAUUAUGUGUAAUAAAAGUGAGGAAACGUCAAAAUAAAUUCGGUCUUGUGAUUUCUAUAAAGCGA